GACUUUCUAUAACGUAUUCUUCACUAUAUGUACAGCAACAAAAAGAAUUGGAGUAUGAAAACUUGUAAUUUACUUUUCUUGACGUUUUUAACUUCUUGACAUAGAAUAUUGUUAAUGGUUUGAAAGCAUUAGCCAAAGAAAGCACGGGAUUAACCAGUGCGUCUCAUGGACAACUUUGAACAUGUCUCGUGUGGUGCCCUGGUAGUUAGUUCUCACUCACGUAAAUUACUUUGUUUGACACGUGGUCCUUCCUACAAAGCCCUGUUGGCUUUGGCAGCUCCUGAGAUGAUGUAUUUCAGUCCCUGGUGGGGGUAGCGUUAGUUACAAGACCUACUGAGGAGGAAAUCGUGUUCUAAUAAAUUUCCAACACAAGGGUUGCCGUAGAGCCUCUACCUCUGUCGGCAUUUGCUACAUUGUGUCCUAAUACAGUGUUGUUCCAAAGGCUUUCUUACUGGUGGGAUUCUCAGAAAUUGAGCCCAUUCUCGCUUACCGUGCCUGUGGAAUUGUUAGGUCCCCAGUUCAGCUCGAGAAAAGCCCUGUCACAGCUGUUUUGCAGCUUUACUUUGAGACCCGUUGAUUAAAAACAGUGAUUUCCCCACGUGUGAUCCCACGACAUUGCCCUGUGACUCACGACAAGUCGAAGCCUGCCGGCUGCGGCUGGAGUUUCCCUGAGGCGCUCACUAGUGGCACCUGUUCACGGACCUUGAGAGGAUAACUGUUUAACCGAAAAGUCAAAGGAAUUUUAAAUCAGAAUUUUCCUGAUCACAGGUUGUUGGUUGAAACACCUGCUUCCCUCUAUUUGUACUCCUGAAAUAAAGCCAAUUAUAUCACUUUUCAACAGAAGAGGAAACGCUAUAAUAUGAUGCUGUGAGCUCCCCCCCACCACCAUUUAGGUAUUCUGUGCCACUACUCCAGGUAAACAUCCUCAUUAAUUUUUUAACCUGGUCACUAAUGAGUAUCAGUGAAUUUGAAAGAGUGCAUUUCAUAAUUACUUAAACAUCAGUAUAUUUUACACUAAGAAGCAGAACUUGGUGAGCACUUGAAUAUAAAAUUCCCUGCGUCAUGGGGCACGAAGUGUAAAUUAAAUAAGCUGGACGUUUGCUUUUCGCAACGGAAGUAGAAACAAGGAUGAGCCCUGCCGAUGACACCAGAAUUGCCAACGUUGAGUCCUCAGCGUAAGCAAGGACCGCUUUCACUCCUUUCACUCCUAGGGGAGAGGAAAGCAAAGAGGCUUCCUGGUGUCCGUGAAGCUGCCAGGGGCAGAUGGCGUACAGUGCGUAUUCCCUGUGGUAUUAGCACAGUGACCAGCUCCUAACCCAAGGGGAAGUUUGAGAUUCCCUUGGGCACUCAGGGGAAGAAGACAUCAAGGUGUUGUCAAAGCCUUGGAUGCCUUCCUUUAGCAAGUAGCAUCACCCAGCUGUCCGCGCGAGACUACACUGCCCACUGGUGGUACAGGAUCGAGCAGGACAGCCGCAUCCGUGCCAUCACUCUCACCUUGUACAGAGUUCAGAAAACUGAUUUGUAUUUGUGAUCAUUUCAGUGAUGGAAAGAUAGACCCUGUAGAGUCUCUUGUAUCCCAGAUGUUCUCUGACCAUGAGAGAGCCCCAUUGUGUGCUUUCUUUCAGAGGCUGUGAUGACAGCCUAGGAGGUGUGGGUCUCCCUUGGAUUGAGCCUGAUUUUCCCAGAAACCUAUAUGAUCGACCAUUUAGGUGUGACUAGAGUACCUAAGGAGUAAACAAAGAUACAGAAGCUUCUGCUUCCGUGGAAUUCUCUGUUUAGAAAUGUCUUUGCAUCUUGUUUCUCUUUAAGAACACAUAAUCCGCAAGCAAGGAAAUAAUACCAGGUAUUCACGCUGUAAGUGUCAGGCUAUGAGAGAUAUUCAUGCUGCAGGUGUCAGGCUAUGAGAGAUAUUCAUGCUGUAGGUGUCAGGCUAUGAGAGAUAUUCACGCUGUAGGUGUCAGGCUAUGAGAGAUAUUCAUGCUGUAAGUAUCAGGCUAUGAGAGAUAUUCAUGCUGUAGGUGUCAGGCUAUGAGAGAUAUUCACACUGUAGGUGUCAGGCUAUGAGAGAUAUUCAUGCUGUAGGUGUCAGGCUAUGAGAGAUAUUCACGCUGUAGGUGUCAGGCUAUGAGAGAUAUUCAUGCUGUAAGUGUCAGGCUAUGAGAGAUAUUCACGCUGCAAGUGUCAGGCUAUGAGAGAUAUUCAUGCUGUAAGUGUCAGGCUUGAGAUGAGAGUUGGGUUUGAAAGAGUGAAGAAACGUGAUAUUGUGAUGAUGUCCCAAAAGUGUUUGAUGUUUAUCUCCACUCAUGACUAUUUAUAGAAUUUUUUUUUUCUAUUAGAAACAUUUUUUUUUCCUAUUAGAAUUUGAGUGUUCUUGCUGGAGUCUGAAUCAUUCCUUCCAGCUUUGUUGGUAUUAAUAAUAGAUUAGAGGGCUUCCCUGGUGGCGCAGUGGUAGAGAGUCCGCCUGCCGAUGCAGGGGACACGGAUUCGUGCCCCGGUCCGGGAAGAUCCCACAUGCCGCGGAGCAGCUGGGCCCGUGAGCCAUGGCCGCUGAGCCUGCGCGUCCGGAGCCUGUGCUCCGCGACGUGAGAGGCCACAACAAUGAGAGGCCCGCGUACCGCAAAAAAAAAAAAAAAAAAAAAGAAAA